rnacentral:misc_RNA from 1 species
UCGUAUCUCUGACGGGGCGGGUCGGCCCUGCUCGGACCCGAAAGGGCCUUUGCAGCGGGCUGCCCGUCACGCUCAACCUUCACAAACCCCCUGUGCACCUUCACGGCGGAGGGUGGUGGCGAGAGCCCCUGCCCGAUGCCGCAUACACAAACCCUAGUUUAACAGUAUGAUCAGUGGCCUCUGUGCCGCCUAAACAUAA